rnacentral:rRNA from 1 species
AUUGAACGCUGGCGGCAGGCCUAACACAUGCAAGUCGAGCGAGCGGCGGACGGGUGAGUAAUGUAUGGGGACUGCCCGAUGGAGGGGGAUAACUACUGGAAACGGUGGCUAAUACCGCAUACUAUCGGAUAACCCAUAUGGGAUUAGCUAGUAGGUGGGGUAAAGGCUCACCUAGGCGACGAUACCUAGCUGGUCUGAGAGGAUGAUAAGAGAAAGUGGGACUGAGACAUGGCCAAGACGACUACGGAGGCAGCAGGGGGGAAUAUUGCACAAUGGGCGCAAGCCUGAUGAAUCAAUGCCUAGUGUAUGAAGAAGGCCUUAGGGUUGUAAAGUACUUUCAGCGGGGAGGCGUUACCCGCAGAAGAAGCACCGGCUAACUCCGUGCCAGCAGCCGCGGUAAUAC